rnacentral:rRNA from 1 species
GGCGGUUCGGCAGCUUACCAUGCAGUCGAGCGCACUCUUCGGAGUGAGCGGCGGACGGGUUAGUAACGCGUGGGAACGUGCCCUUCUCUAAGGAAUAGCCACUGGAAACGGUGAGUAAUACCUUAUACGCCCUUCGGGGGAAAGAUUUAUCGGAGAAGGAUCGGCCCGCGUUAGAUUAGAUAGUUGGUGGGGUAAUGGCCUACCAAGUCUACGAUCUAUAGCUGGUUUUAGAGGAUGAUCAGCAACACUGGGACUGAGACACGGCCCAGACUCCUACGGGAGGCAGCAGUGGGGAAUCUUGGACAAUGGGCGCAAGCCUGAUCCAGCCAUGCCGCGUGAGUGAUGAAGGCCUUAGGGUCGUAAAGCUCUUUCGCCAGAGAUGAUAAUGACAGUAUCUGGUAAAGAAACCCCGGCUAACUCCGUGCCAGCAGCCGCGGUAAUACGGAGGGGGUUAGCGUUGUUCGGAAUUACUGGGCGUAAAGCGCACGUAGGCGGAUCAGAAAGUAUAGGGUGAAAUCCCAGGGCUCAACCCUGGAACUGCCUUGUAAACUCCUGGUCUUGAGUUCGAGAGAGGUGAGUGGAAUUCCGAGUGUAGAGGUGAAAUUCGUAGAUAUUCGGAGGAACACCAGUGGCGAAGGCGGCUCACUGGCUCGAUACUGACGCUGAGGUGCGAAAGUGUGGGGAGCAAACAGGAUUAGAUACCCUGGUAG